GGUCUUCGAGGCGGGGUGAAAUUCCCCACCGGCGGUACAGUCCGCAAGCGGUUUUCCGCAUGAGCCGGCGAAAUUCCGGCACCGACGGUCACAGUCCGGAUGAGAGAAGAUG
rnacentral:ncRNA from 1 species